rnacentral:rRNA from 1 species
UACGGGGGGGGGCAAGCGUUGUUCGGAAUUACUGGGCGUAAAGGGUUUGUAGGUGGCCAACUAAGUCAGACGUGAAAUCCCUCAGCUUAACUGGGGAACUGCGUCUGAUACUGGUUGGCUUGAGUGCAGGAGAGGAAUGCGGAAUUCCAGGUGUAGCGGUGAAAUGCGUAGAGAUGUGGAGGAACACCAGUGGCGAAGGCGACUCUUUGGCCUGUAACUGACGCUGAGGCGCGAAAGCGUGGGGAGCAAACAGG